AUUUCUGGUGUAGGGGUAAAAUCCGUAGAGAUCAGAAGGAAUACCGAUUGCGAAGGCGAUCUACUGGAACAUUACUGACGCUGAGAUGCGAAAGCGUGGGGAGCAAACAGGAUUAGAUACCCUGGUAGUCCACGCCCUAAACGAUGCACACUAGUUGUUGCUAUGCUAGACAUAGCAGUAAUGCAGUUAACACAGUAAGUGUGCCGCCUGGGGAGUACGGUCGCAAGAUUAAAACUCAAAGGAAUAGACGGGGACCCGCACAAGCGGUGGAGCAUGUGGUUUAAUUCGACGAUACGCGAAGAACCUUACCUGGCCUUGACAUAGAAAGAACUUUCCAGAGACGGAUUGGUGCUAGUUUACUAGAGCUUUCAUACAGGUGCUGCACGGCUGUCGUCAGCUCGUGUCGUGAGAUGUUGGGUUAAGUCCCGCAACGAGCGCAACCCUCGUGUUUAGUUACUAACAGUUCGGCUGAGGACUCUAAACAGACUGCCUGGGUAACCAGGAGGAAGGUGAGGACGACGUCAAGUCAUCAUGGCCCUUACGGCCAGGGCUACACACGUGCUACAAUGGGGUAUACAAAGAGCUGCAAUACGGUGACGUGGAGCAAAUCUCAUAAAAUAUCUCCCAGUUCGGAUUGAAGUCUGCAACUCGACUUCAUGAAGUUGGAAUCGCUAGUAAUCGUAGAUCAGCAAUGCUACGGUGAAUACGUUCCCGGGUCUUGUACUCACCGCCCGUCACACCAUGGGAAUUGAAUUCAUUC
rnacentral:rRNA from 1 species